AUGUCCCGGGCGGCUUCCUCGGUUCUUCCGGCCACCCGUCCCGCGGCCGGUCUGGGCCGAGUCCCGGGGCUCUCCGGGCUCACGCCCUCUGCUCUCAAGAACACCCUGCGGGAGCAGAGCAUUCACCUCGCACCCUGCGCUCUCUCCGCAGGGGCAGAGCCAGCCGCAGUGCCAGGAGCUCCCUGCCCGGCUCCAGCGCGGGCCCCGGAAGCAGCCCAGGUGAGUGGGCGGGAGGGACUCUGGAGGCUGGCCAGAGGGCCGCUGCUGCCCGGGCUCCAGGCCCCCAGCCAAGCCCCGCAGAUGACCCUCCAGCUGGCGCUCAGCCUGAGCAGGACCUCCACCGCCUGGGGGGUGGGGGGAGGUGGCCAGGCAGAGUUUCCCUCGGGGACGGGGCGGGGGCUGGCGGCUGGCAGCUCCCUCCCCAAGAGGCCUCUCGGAGGGCCCCUGGGUGCUGGAGAACUCAGAGCUUUCCUCCCGCAGGGGCCGCGGACGCCCAGCACGCAAUGUAUGCAGAUGGUCGUGGUGGUCCUGGAGCCGGGAACAGCCCUUGAGCUGCGCCUGGGUGCGGAAGUCCUGGUCCUGGCCCCCCACGCAGCCCUGCAGCUCACGCUCGGCAACCUGGCGCUCGUCGUCGUCCCUGCGCGCGUCCUGAGCUCUUCCGAGGCUCUCUGGUUCCCUGCCCACGCGCGCUGGCUCUGGCCCGGCCCGACCCAGGCCGCCUGGGCCAUCAACGUGCAAGACGGAUCCCUUUGCGCCCAGAGAGCGGAGCCCAGCGGAGCGCCCCCCGCGCCAGAGGACGGGGAGGCUAGGCGAGGCUGCCGGCCCCCCGCGGGACCCUGGGCCGGCGGAGUCCCGGGCCUCAGCCCCUCCUCCCCGCACACCCUCCUCCUCCAAGCUCUCCGCGGGGCCCCUGCCCGCCAGGGCUGCGGGCUCCCGCCCGAGCCCAGGCCGGGGCUGCGCCCUCUGCCGGCCGAGUUCAGCCUGGACCUCCGCGGCCUGGGGCCCCCGCCCAGCUCGGAGCUCAGACCUCUGCCUCCCUCCCCGAGUCCCAGUCCGCGGCCCAGAAGCUGCCGCGCGCCGCCCCGUCGCAGGCCCCCCGCCAAGGCCCGCAGGCGUCUCUUCCGAGGGGAUUGA
rnacentral:lncRNA from 1 species